GGUUAAGAACCUGACUGCAGCGGCUUGGGUCCCUGUGGAGGCAUGGCUUUGAUCCCUGGCCAGUUGCAGCGGGUUAAAGGAUCUGGCCUUGCUGCAGAGGUGGUAUAGGUUGCAGCUAAGAUGCAACACCUAACCUGGGAACUUCCAUACGCCCCAAGUGCGGCCCUAAAAAGACAAAAAAAAAAAAAAAAAAAAAAAAAAAAGAAAAAAAAAAAAAGAGAGAAAGAAAGAAAAGAAAAAAGGAGUUCCCGUCGUGGCGCAGCAGAAACGAAUCCGAUUAGGAACCAUGAGGUUGCGGGUUCGAUCCCUGGCCUCGCUCAGUGGCUUAAGGAUCCAGAUGUGGCUUGGAUCUGGUGUUGCUGUGGCUGGGGUGUAGGCCGGCGGCUGUAGCUCCGAUUCGACCCUUCGCCUGCAAACCUCCAUAUGCCAUGGGUGUGGCCCUAAAAAGCCAAAAAAAAAAAAAGAAAAAAAAAAAGAAAGAAAGAAGAAAAGAAAGAAAUGUACAGUCUUGUAAACUUCUCAAUGUAGUCUCAAUAGUGCAAACAGCACUACUGACCCAGGAGCUCCUGAUUCAAAUCUAACACUGUCCCAAACAGAAGGAUGUGAUGGACAGAUGAGACAGAAGACACGACGGACCAGGGGGCAGAAGCGUUUUGCCUUCAACCACCACCGACGCGACCAUUUUUUGGCUGUCAGGGACCCAUUACCAGAGAACAGACAGCAAACGCAUGCACUUUUGGCCUGCUCUUUUCAAGUGUUUCUUAGCAAGUCCUUGGAAGAAUGUAUGGGCAGGCAUUUCUGCUCUCAGAAAAAAAAAAAAAAAAAAAAGAAAAAAAAGAAAGAAAGAAAAACAGCAGCAGUGCCAAAGAGUAUGAAAGGUUUCACUUCCUUCUUAACCUUUACUGAGCAGAAAAGAGCAAUUUGACAGUGGUGUCUCUGGGGAAGAAAGAGCCACUUCCUGGCUGCCUUUGUCAAGAGAGUUCCUGCCACGUGACCCAUCUUCAGCCAGCAUAGAGAAGCACACUUAUUUAUACCUUUCACAGAAAUACACAAUUAAGUACCGUGCAGUGUUGACCUAGCAUCCUUGGCCCAACAUUCCAAGGACUCUCAGAGCCAUAAAGAUGGUACAGCCUUGGGUAAGAGGUACCUCUCUGUAAGAUGUUCCAAUAUGCCCUAAGGAGCCCACCCCCAAGGCAAGCUGCCUGAAUGGCUCCCACCAUCCAGAAAUGUAAGGCUGAAACUGCAUCAGCACCAAGUGGAUUACUCCUCUUAGCAAUAAUGCUGCAGGUGGUACCAAUCGUUGAUAUAUUAGGUUGGUCACUACAUUGAGAAAAAUGCCACAAAUGUCUAGAAGGAAAGGGAGGCACCCAUAAAAUAGCAGUCAUCUGAGAAGCCAAUAACACAAGAUACUCGCCCUCAGAUUCUUGCAGUGUGCGUCACAAGACCCAAUGGCAAUGUGAACCACUAGUCCCAUCUGCUGCUCCUCUCCUUCUGACAAAUGCAAUGGCUUCUCAGUUUUUCAAAAGAUGAAUCUUAGGUGUCAUGCCGAGGCUCAGAUAACUAGAAAGGUUUUUCAUCCUGUUUUGCCACUGAUGGCUGAAAACAAAGUGAGAGGAGUUGAAUGGGGAAAAAUACAGCUGGGGAAUCGUUGAAUGAGAAUUGCAAACUGGAGGAAAUGAGUGGGGGAAACUGAACACUUGGUUCAGAGGUGAAAACUCUAUCUGACUGGCUGUUGGCAAUUUUGCCUUCUGGAGAGCAGCUGGACUGGUGGUUUUUCCCUCCAAGAGACACAGAAAAAAGAUACCGCCCGAAAGCUGCCUUACACCUACUAGAAGCUUUUGGUUUGGCUGUUGGUAAACUGGAAGUGGAGUUAACCACAUCUGAUCAAUUAUCAGUCAACUCAACCUCACUCUUGUUCUCUUCUGGAAUGAGGCAACCCAUUGAUGGGUUCUGAGCAGCUUUUCCAGAAGAUAAGUGAGGCGAAUGGAUGUCAACACAGCUUUGAACAAGGCUUGUUCUAAGAGUUAUAGUCCCGGGAUAGGACUGCAAAUCUCUUGCAGCCAAAGUCCCUCUCUUGCAUUUGUGUGUCUUUUAGUGUCUUACACACAGCAGAGUGUGUGUUGAAUGAAGUGUGCCCAUGGCCCACCCAGCCCAACCCCUCCAAAUACAUACAUAUAAAUAAGCAAAUAAAUCAAAAGGAUCAAUAAUAAGUCCA
rnacentral:lncRNA from 1 species